AAAAAAUCAAAACAAAUUAGAUACUUAACCUAUGCAUCUCAAUUACACUAAAUAUUUUUAAAUAAGAGCAGACAAAACAUACCUUUGAAAAUGUUUGCAAACUUUCAUCAGAAACAAUUUCGAGUCCAUGCAUAACAUGUAAGUUCCAACUUUUGUCAGAUUAAUUUAGAAAAGGAAAUGAAAUUUAGGUAUUAAUUCCAUUGAAUUACUAAUAUGAGUCCCAAACUACUCUAUGAUGCAGAACCAAUCGAAAAAUCAUAGGG
rnacentral:misc_RNA from 1 species